GAAAGAAAAGGAAUUAGAAGAAGAAGAAGCAGGAAAGAGUCCAACUCCUGUAAAGGUUAGCAACAAAAAGGAGAAAAAGUUGAGCAAAAAGAAGGGGAGGAUACAUGAAGUUCGCUAUAUGGACAGUAAUGGCGGAGAGUUGUCUGACGAAGAAGAACUGGACAGUGAUCUUGAUGAAGACAUGGAUAAUGUUAAGGUUAGUGAGAAUCUCAAAAAGGGUAGUAAUGAAUUGAAGGGUAAGAAACGGAGUAGAGUGAAC
rnacentral:misc_RNA from 1 species